rnacentral:lncRNA from 1 species
AUUCUCAAAUCUUUUCACACACAACUACCACUAGGGUUCCACAGAGUAGAACCCAAAGAAAACAAAGAAGAAUGAGAGAAUCCUAGAGCAUUCUCAUUCCAAACGACUUGAUCCUUCUUCCUCGAAGAUAAAUGGAGUUCACUUCCAGCCACCGUGUGCCGCGGUUGUCGUUUCAGACGAAAAAAAACAAAUGUAGAAACUAUAUGAUUUUCGAUGACCCGUCGAAACUUAUGUGGUUCCUUCCGUUUCGUUGAAUUGCUUUCUCUCUGAACGCACAAUAACCACUGGAGGUGACGAAUUAGAAGAUUAUUUGUUAUACCGAAAGACAAACGUGGAUCACUUAUAAAUAUAGUUCUGAUUCACUUCAUAACUAGGGGUCUUCAUUCAAGUUCGAUUUCAUAUGAUCCAAUGUAAGAUGUUGAUGAGGGAAUAUAGGUUCUGGAGAGGAAGGGUUGAAGAUGGAUAUGAAGACCAGGUUAAAAAAUCAUCCAACAAUAGAUUUUAGUAACUGUUUAUUAGAUGUUAGGACUUUAGAGUUAAACUUCAAUGAGCCAUAAGCCUAUAACCAUCGUGAAUACAACAAUAAGUUAUUAUUUUAUGACUUAGGGGGUGUUUGGGUUAGCUUAUUUUGAAGCAACUUAUGACUUAUUAACUUAUAAAAGUUAAUAAGUUGUUUCUUAAGUGUUUGGGUUAGCUUAUUUUAGAGGAUUUUGUGUGUGUGAGAAGUCAUUUUUGAGAAGUCAGAAUUUCUGACUUCUCACUUAUGACUUAUAUAAGUUAAUAAGUCGUUUUGAGAAGGAAUGCCAAACACCCACUUAAACUAUUUUGACAUUGUCUUUAUGUUGUGGAUAUGGACACUACAUAUCUUAUGACUUUGGGCUUAUGUAUGUAUGGGUAUUUUCCCAUAGCCAGAACCUUUGUUGGUUGUACACUUUUGGGAUGUGUUCCCACUGACACUUAAAAAUAAUAAUAAUAAAAAGAAACAGAAAAGGAGUAACACAAGCCCAUAAUUUGCAAUCAAGACAAGCAUUUGGGACUUUGGAGUUUGGACCGUAAGAAUAUCCGAAAAGGAGUAUCCCAGGCGAAGGGGAAAUCGUCAACUGUAAAGCCGCACGGUGAGACGAUAACACACAAAAAAUGGUGAUGGCGUGUGCAGUGGCGGGUACUGGUUUUUGAAUUUACAUUCAGUGAUUUUCGUGACCGGAAAUGCCAAAACGCUCGAAGAAGUUAAAGUUAUUUUAGGGCAAUCAAUCCCUUUUCGCAACCAAGUGUUAAACUCGACUUAACGGUGUUGGAACAUCAAGGCGACCCAGAAGAUCGAGCUCGUUUAGCUACUAAUCAGGCCCACUAAUUACUCAAUACUCGUAUUCUAUAAUUUAUAUUAGUAAUUAUUAAAAGUUUUAGUUUUAAUGAUAUGGGAAUGUGUGUAGGUGAAAGGACGAGUGUUGGUUAAGUACACAUGUUUCUGUUUCAAUGCUCACAAGGGACUCCGUGGUAGAUUUAGUUCAUACAAUUGGAUAGAGAAGAGGAUUAGAGUUGAUAUGAAGAUCAAUUAACUAAUAUAGUAUGAUCUGUUGUUUUGUUUACAGGGUCUUACAUGUAACUCUCUAUUGUCUGCACUUGUUUGAUUGUUCUGGUUCUUAAGGUGAUGUUUUAUGACUUCCUGUCAAUGUCUUUUAUAAACACAUUACUCACAAGU